GGGUGCACACAGACCCCCGCGACACGGAGACCCGGUCUGGGGAGGUCGCGGCCCUGUGUCUCCAGAGGGCGAGUCCCUGCCGAACCCCAGCUGGAGCGACGGGCGAGGAGGAAGGGGGGGAGCAGAAAAGAAACACGGAGCCACGAGGACCCCCACCCGGGAUAGGAAGCGCCAGGCCACCGGAAAUCCUCCUCCGCCUCAGGACAAGUGCGGUGGGCAGAGAAGCGAGGACUGACCCUGCGGCCCCGGCCGGGAACCAACUGCUGGGGGGACCACGCCGAAAGCUACGUCUCCUUACCGACGGCGCCCACCGCCAGAGACUACAACUCCCAGAAGCCUCCGCCCGCGGACCCCAGAAUGCGUGGCAGUGCCGCCGCUUUCUUAUCCGGAAGCGGCUAAGGAAUUCUUAGCGCGCAUGCGCUCAUGGGAUUCUUCUCAGUCUUUGGGAACUAUAUUUCCCAGCGGGCUCUGGGGCUCGUGAGAGGCGAACACCUUCACUAGUGAGCGCUCCCAGAGCGUCCUCUUAACCCAUCCCUUAGCAAAGGCUCUCCGGAAAUCCGCGGCGUGUCAGGAUUCGGUCAGAGAAGGCUCAGUUGACCUAAAGUUGUCUUCGUCAUUGUCUUGCUGCUUGCAGGUGGCAGUAAGAUUCUCGUCCUUAAAGUUCUUACAAAGAAAAUACUGUGAACGCCGUGGGAAAGCUACUGGAGCGUUGCAGGAAAGUGGCUUGAGUUGAGAAAUCUCCCUUCUGAACUCCCAAAGAAACCCAACCCCUAUUAUUACCGUCUUUAAAAGUUUAACGAGCGUUCCCCUGGAGACGUCUUAUUUUACCUUCAAGACUGCUCCCUCAAAAUUUCAUAUCAGAAAUAUACCAAAAUUUCAUCAUAUUUUGAGGAAACUGCCUUGACUCCAUUUGAAGACCAGGUACAGUGACAGAAGCUGAACCCAGAUAAAGCAAAACUGAGCCUAACUGGAAAGAGGAAAAAUUGGCAAUCUGACGAGAUAUCCAAUAUCAACUUUUUUGAAGAGCCAACACUGUCAGGCUGUGCUUCUCGGGAGCUAACCUAAGCAAGGAAUUCAGCACUCAUUCCUAUCACAUGAAGAGGAGGAAGAAAAGUAGAGAGAGGAGGAGGAGGAAGAGGAAAAGGAGGAGAAAGAGAAGGAGAGGGAAGAGGAGAUGGAGACGAUGGAGAGGAGGAGAAGAAGGAGGAGAGGAAUGGUGAUGACUUGUUUCAGGCAGAAACUUGGUUACACAUAUUACAUAUGUACGAUGUACCUACUUGAGGACCAAGACAUUUCCUCUAUUGUGAAGAAACAUGCUGGCUGAUCCUGAAGAGGCAAGCAAAAUUGGAAGGGAAAUGUAGGACUGCAAAGGUACAAUGUAUAGGUUAAAGGAUUGUUUCCUCCUCUUUCUCCCCCUCCUCCUCCUCUCCCUCUUCUCACCUCUGCUCUCUAAUGUUAGCAGUAGAACCCAGGGCCAUGUACUCACUAAACAAGCGCUCUGCCACUGAGGUAAAACCUUGCUAUUCUGCAUUUCCAAGAAGCUUCUUACUGGUCCAUAUAACAUUCAGGUCUCCUUUUCUGACAUGACACUUGCCCUGGUUAGUCAUCCAACAGUAUUGCAUUGUCCAUUUUUCUUACUUAGUUCUAAGGACAGAAAAGGAAGGUAACAGCCACUGUUGUCAAGCCUUAAUACUCUGAGACCUCCUUAAAUGUAACAUGAAAAGAUUCCUACAUCAU